rnacentral:rRNA from 1 species
UACGGAGGGGGCAAGCGUUAUUCGGAUUCACUGGGCGUAAAGGGUGCGUAGGUGGUCGUGUAAGUCUGGCGUGAAAUCUUCACCGCUCAACGGGAAGAGGUCGCUGGAAACUGCACGACUUGAGUAUGGUAGAGGCAGGCGGAAUUCCAGGUGUAGCGGUGGAAUGUGUAGAUAUCUGGAAGAACACCCGUGGCGAAGGCGGCCUGCUGGGCCAUUACUGACACUGAGGCACGAAAGCGUGGGUAGCAAACAGG